CUUAGCAAGGUUAAUCACAAAAGGUUAUUUCUGUAUCCAUGGAAUCCAAACAAACCUUAUUAAGGAACACAGACUGCUACCAGUACAGACAUUAUCAUUUUGCAGACGUAAGAGCUCAUCCAGUAAAAGAAACAUUACUCCCUCUGAAUUAGAAUUAAAAUUAAUAACAUAAGUCUGAUGUCAAAAUUGUUUAAGAAAGAGGAAUGACAUUUCAAUGUCUUCCAAAGAAAAAAAAGCAUGGCCCCAAGAAAUCGUGUCAUUAUGAAGAGUCUAAUAGAAGAAGCUGAGAGAGUCAUAGAUUCGUCUCAACACAUAUUUUAGCUAUUUUCUUGUGGGAUUUCAUUGGAAAAACAACACUCCAUUUUUCAAAGAAAUUCAUUUGAACAGAAGAGGCAACAAACUGUGGUUCUGUGUGGUUACCUAAUGGGGCUGUGUUCUGGGAAGUCAACCUGUACUGUUGCUUCAAGCUUGAACAAAGAGGAUGUAAAUGUGGAGGAUGUAGAAAAUGCAAAGCUUGUGGAAAGUUUUGCUGAAGAAAAUCUUUUAAAAACAGAUGACAGAAGCAUGUCAGGUGUUACUACCAAUGCAGAAUCAAGCAUUAUUAAUCCAAACAGCAAAUUAUAUUCAGGAGCAUUUGGAGAAAAGUUGGUGGAAUCAGCACCCUAUGUGAAUGAAAAUGAUGGCUUAGAGAUUAUAGAUAUUGAUUAAAGUUAUAUUUUAUAUGUACAUAAAAUUGUGAAAGCUGUAUUUUGUGCAAAAAACACAAAACAUUUCAAGAUAAUUUCUGGAAGUUGGUUUCUAAAAUAAGUUUGAAUGCUAUUUUAAUUUUGUCAAUCUGAGAUCAACUCGGCUUUGUUGGUAGCAGUCUGCUUUGAAAUUAAAGACCUGAUUGUAAGUUCCUCAACAGUACUGAAUGCAUUGUUAAACUGAGAUUCCAAUACAGAACUGAGGGGGCUUGGUUUUAUUGGACAUGUUAGCCCUCAGUUAAACUAUCUAUCUGGUUAAGUGGAUUUUGAGAAUCACGUGUCACUAGUCCCACUGCCAAAGCAAAAAUUUCGUAUAAAACAAAUGCUACUUAAAAGGUUAAUAAAAUGUGAGGCUGGAUGAACACAGCAGGCCCAGCAACAUCUCAGGAGCACAAAAGCUGACA